rnacentral:tRNA from 1 species
ACCUGAGUGGCUCAGUUGGUUAAGUGUCUGACUUCAGCUCAGGUCAUGAUCUCACAGUCUGUGGGUUCAGACCCCACAUCAGGCC